AGAAGGGGUCUCGCACUGUCACCCAGGCAGGAAUGCAGUGGCGCGAUAAUGGCUCACUGCAAUCUCACUAUAUUGACCAGUAUGAUUUUCAACUCCUGUCUUUAAGCGAUCCUCACGCUUCGGCCUCCCAAAGUGCUGGGGUUACAGACAUGUGCCACUAUGCCCUGCCUAAAUAUGUUUAUAUAUACUACCGCCAAAGAAACAAUUUGAAGACGAUCUUUCCCCAGCCCCUCUCCUUCUGAUCCAACUCCAAGAGCUCACCCUCCCUGUAAGACCUGUAGCAGAGCACGUAUUGGCCUGCUGAUACUAGGGGCAAAGACCGGGCCGAUCAGAUGUUACAUGGCAUAAGGGCGAAGGAUUCUGAAAGAAAGACUGAGACUUGCUGGAGGAAGUACUAGUAGUGCCAAGGGCAGGUAUGUGACCCUCGGAGCUGCAGAGCCAGGAACUCAACUGUUAGGCAGAAGGGAGGAAUGUACUGUUGAUAUGGACAGACUCCAAGAAGGGGAGGGACUGCUGGGACUACUAGAACGAGAAUGCCUCUGCCCCUAUGGCUCAGCUCUGCAACUCUCUCUGCACAUUGGCUUCAUGCUGUUAGACCAGCUUCCUCCAUAUGUCUGGAAA
rnacentral:lncRNA from 1 species